rnacentral:rRNA from 1 species
ACUCCUCGGGAGGCAGCAGUCGAGAAUAAUUCACAAUGGGGGAAACCCUGAUGGUGCAACGCCGCGUGGAGGAUGAAGGCCCUAGGGUCGUAAACUCCUGUCAUCUGAGAGUAAGACCUGGCGGUCAAUAGCCGACAGGGUUGAUAGUAUCAGAAGAGGAAGGACGGCUAACUUCGUGCCAGCAGCCGCGGUAAUAGCGAAGGGUCCCGAGCGUUGUUCGGAAUCACUGGGCGUAAAGGGAGCGUAGGCGGUUUGGUAAGUCAGAUGUGAAAUCCCGGGGCUCAACCCCGGAACUGCAUCCGAUACUGCCAAACUUGAGUAGUGGAGGGGUAGAUGGAAUUCUCGGUGUAGCAGUGAAAUGCGUAGAUAUCGAGAGGAACACUUAUGGCGAAGGCAAUCUACUGGACACUUACUGACGCUGAGGCUCGAAAGG